UAGGUAAGCCCGCUGGUGGGUGUUUAGUUGUUAACUAAAAUAUUUCGGGAUCGAGGCCCGAUAAUCUAG
rnacentral:tRNA from 1 species